GUUGAUUCCGAGGUGUGAUGAAACUGUGGUGGAUACCAGCCGUGUGCGUUCAUGCAGAAACGAGGGGCCAGAGGCUCUGGUGGUUUGCUCUCCAUGACCAAAGACUGGGUGAUGACUGUCGACUUGGAGAGGCAACAGAAGAUACCAUUACACAUCAUCCAGACCACACUGUGACCUGAUACCCUAAGUCUCAGAGGCUACAAGGCAGCUGACACUGUUAGAGCUAAUGGUGCCCUGGGCGGAGAGGAUGGAGGAGGCUCAAGAAAGGAAGAGGGAGAAAUAUAACGAGCUGGUAGAGGGCUGUCAGAGCAAGGGGUAGAUGACGAGGUGUAUGCCAGUGGGGGUGGGCAGUCAGGGAUUUGCCGGCCAUUUCCUGAAUAAGGCAGCAGAGAAAGCUUUGUGAAGAAGUUGAUGCCACUUGGAACCAGGCAGUUCGCCUGGACGGGGCUGUCUGUUGCAGGACCCAAAACACCCAGUGACACAAGGAAACAACACUGAAGAUAGUUUGCAUAAUGUAACUGAGUGGAAAUGUAAGUAUGUUUCUCUGGGUAACAAACAGGAGGUUGUGAAGGACAGCUAUUUUCUGCAUUUACCACAUAUAAAUGUGACAGUUUCUACAGCUGAUGGUUGCAAAAGAUUGGGCGAUGCCUUUUCACAAGUUUGGAUUCAAGUACUUUUGUAAUGUGUGUGGCGUCAGGACUACCUUGCCUUGCUGAUGAAGUUGUACGUGUCUGGCCAGUGGCAGAGCAGGUCAGUGGCUUCAACAUCGUGCACUCUGAUGUUCAUGUAAGUGAAAGACUCGGGGAAAAAGUUGUCGAUCUCUCUGGUCACAUUCAAAAUGUAGCCGACACUGAAAAACACACAGAGACACUUAAACCUAGAGCCUCGGCAGGGACUCUCUCGUGUGAUGAGAGAAUGGAAACCGAAGACAACAGCAAGAGCGCACAGAGCUACGGAAACGUUGAAGGUGAAAACACUGACUUGUUUUUCUGCAGCUCCUCAAAGUUGGCCGCGUUCCACUCAGAACCCUGAAACCAGAUAAAAGGAGACUUUCAACUGAGGCCACAGAGGAAGAAAAGCAAAGGGCCUUCACAGCCGUCUUCCCUAUUGCUGUCAACACAUGACUCGCAAAGGGGAAGUCACAGUCACGCACAACGCCCUGGUGAAAACUGAAAGCACACUUCCUUCAGUUUACUGACCAAGACAAAGCAAAGACUUCACAUGAUGAACUUUUAAUUAAACGCUGCUAUCUUGGAAGCCGAGCAGUCACUCACCAGGUAAAGAUAGUCAAAUAUUUUAGAGGGUUUGUCCAUCUGAGCCAUAGUGACCAGGAUCUCAUUGUCAAUGUAUUCCUUGAAAGGUCUCAUAUCAAAGCCUACUCUGGACUCUAGGGAAGUCUUCACCUACAGGAGAGCAGAGGAGAGAUCAGUUAAUUCAGGUGUGCACAGAUUUUGCUCUAGGAGUUCUUCGACCUCAUGUGCUCAUGUCUCACCAUUUUAGAUGUGAUGUUGUCCAGAUCCUCAGUCCUCAUAAUGUCUCUCAGGUGCUCUUUGAUCAGCGCCUCCUUGGUGAGUCUGUCUUCCGACCUUCCCACAAAGAAAACAAUAAAUAACAUUUUUCAUUUCAACACAGAA